rnacentral:rRNA from 1 species
GUCAAACUUUAGUUACGAGAAAUACGUAGCAGGGGAACACACCUAGCAGCAUUACGAGUGGUGAAAUACAGAAAUAAAUACCUCUGCCCGCGUGUUUAAGAAUUGAAACACUGCUGCUAAACAGGGAUUAGAGACCCCUUUAUACAAGUGCUUAUUUAUACUGCGGAGUACUAAAACCUUAAGGGUUAAAACUUAAACAACAUGGCGGUAAUCUUCACUUAGGGGAACUUACCUUAUAAUUGAUAACCACCAAGGUCAAAUAACUACUCAAAAAUCUUGUAUGCCGUCGUCGUCAGGUGGCACUUAAUGUUCUACCAGGAUAGUCAUCUUAAAAGACAGAUCAAGGUGCAGACAAUUGGGUAGUAGUGGCGAGUUACAUUUUCAACUAUUAACGGAUAAACUACGUAAUUAACAUACUGAAGAUGGACUUAACAGUAAUAGAAACUAUUAUUAAUCUAUGAA